rnacentral:rRNA from 1 species
CAAAGGUAGCAUAAUCAUUAGUCUUUUAAUUGAAGGCUGGUAUGAAUGGUUGGAUGAGGUACAAGCUGUGUCAUAAAAAUUAAUAUUUGAAUUUAACUUUUUAGUCAAAAGGCUAAAAUUUAAUUAAAAGACGAGAAGACCCUAUAGAGCUUUAUAUAAUGAUUAUUUAAUUUAUUAAGAUUUAUUAAAUUUAAUUAUUUUAUUAUAUUUUGUUGGGGUGACAAUAAAAUUUAAAAAACUUUUAUUAUUAUUUUACAUUUAUUUAUGACUUUAUGAUCCAGUUUUAUUGAUUAUAAAUUUAAGUUACCUUAGGGAUAACAGCGUAAUUUUUUUUGAGAGUUCAUAUCGACAAAAAAGAUUGCGACCUCGAUGUUGGAUUAAGAGUAAUUUUGGGUGUAGAAGU